UACGGGGGGGGCAAGCGUUGUUCGGAAUUACUGGGCGUAAAGCGCGUGUAGGCGGCUAAGUAAGUCGGGCGUGAAAUCCCACGGCUCAACCCUGGAAUGCCAGUGGAAACUGUCGAGCUAGAGUCCGGAAGAGGCGAGUGGAAUUCCUGGUGUAGCGGUGAAAUGCGCAGAUAUCAGGAGGAACACCAAUGGCGAAGGCAGCUCGCUGGGACGGUACUGACGCUGAGACGCGAAAGCGUGGGGAGCAAACAGG
rnacentral:rRNA from 1 species